UGUGCUGGAGCUGGAGCCACUGUGAUCGCACUGCUCAUCUAUGUGAUGGCCACAACCUAUAACUUUGCAGUGUUGAAGUUUAAGAGCUACGACCACAGUCACACCACUAAGUUUUGAGCUUUUGUUGAUCUCAGAGACAGAGAGAGAAAGUGAUAGAGAGGGAGAAGGAUGAACUGAGUGAGUGAAAGAGGUCAGGAAAUAGGCAAAGGAGAGAAAUCAAUUGAGAACUAUUAGUUCAUAGCACGGGCCUUAAUGCAUAGACAGUGUAGUGCAUAUUAACUGUAUUGUCUAAUGUUCAAAUCUUUUGUAUAUUUGUGUUUCUGUACUAAUUUGACGAGGUGUGAUCACUUAACAAAACAAGGACAAUACAUCAUACUCAUUUCUAUCUAGGUACAAAUUCAUAAUAAAGUAUAGCACCGAUGACCAAUCCAGAAUAAUGUAGCUUAUUUACAGUUUAUCAGAAAAUGACUUUAGUAGUGAGAAUGUAACUCUCUGACAGUCCAACAACACCUAAUGGACAGGAUUAAAACUAGAAAAUAGUACUAUUUUUGGUAAUGAUUGAUGUCUCUCCAUUGGAUCAUAUCCACCCUGAGGCACCCGUAGUCCAGAAUCCAGUCAGAUAGAAAAAGCAAGUCAAGUACAGUAGAUGAGAAGGGCAUAGUUAUUGCUGUUUUGAAAGAUAUUAGGAAUGUUGUGUUUAUGCUCAUAAACUUUUACUCCAUGCUACAUGUACCUGUGAAGGGUGUGACUGUACUUUUUAACUCCUUAUGAGAUGUUUUGGAGUCAUAGAAUUGACUCUAAAAAUGCCAUUGUCUUUCAGAGCCUUUGUUUUUAGAUUCAUCCGACUACUAUUUAGUUUAAUAUUAUGUUUAAUAUUGAAUUCAGACAGCAUAUAGUUUUUGCCUUUUGUAUUAUUCUCAAAGCAGUAUAGUUCCUGUUUUCAGAAAUAAUCUGAAAUAAAAAAUGAUUGUGGAGAAGU